rnacentral:rRNA from 1 species
AGAGUUUGAUCCUGGCUCAGAACGAACGUUGGCGGCGUGGAUAAGACAUGCAAGUCGAACGCUGAUUUCAGGGUAGCAAUACUCUGAGGUCGGAGUGGCGCAAGGGUGCGUAACACGUGGGUAAUUUGCCGUGAAGUUGGGGAUAACUCGCUGAAAGGCGAGCUAAUACCGAAUGUGAACAUUGGGAGGCAUCUUUUGAUGUUCAAAGUUGGGGACCGCAAGGCCUGACGCUUCACGAUAAGCCCGCGGCCUAUCAGCUAGUUGGUGAGGUAACGGCUCACCAAGGCUAAGACGGGUAGCUGGUCUGAGAGGACGACCAGUCACACUGGAACUGAGACACGGUCCAGACACCUACGGGUGGCAGCAGUCGAGAAUUUUUCUCAAUGGGCGAAAGCCUGAAGGAGCGACGCCGCGUGGGGGAUGAAGGGCUUCGGCCCGUAAACCCCUGUCAUUUGCGAACAAACCUUACGAUCUAAUAAGUCGUGAGCUGAUUGUAGCGAAAGAGGAAGGGACGGCUAACUCUGUGCCAGCAGCCGCGGUAAUACAGAGGUCCCAAGCGUUGUUCGGAUUCACUGGGCGUAAAGGGUGCGUAGGUGGCAGGGUAAGUUUGAUGUGAAAUCUCCGGGCUUAACCCGGAAACUGCAUUGAAUACUAUCCCGCUUGAGGUUUGGAGGGGGGACUGGAAUUCUCGGUGUAGCAGUGAAAUGCGUAGAUAUCGAGAGGAACACCAGUGGCGAAGGCGAGUCCCUGGACAACACCUGACACUGAGGCACGAAAGCUAGGGGAGCAAACAGGAUUAGAUACCCUAGUAGUCC